UGUAAUUUAAACAAUAAAGCUUAGGAAACUUGAUACCAAUUGAAAAGGUAAGGGAAAGAAAUCCUCCAAAAGUCAAAUUAAAAUUGUAGAGUUGCUUCAUGCCAACAAAACAUAUAUGCAAUGCCCAGAAAAACCCAGAUCAAAAUAAGUGAAAAUUCAUAAACCCUCCACCAUCUUCUUCAACUCAUCCUCCUUUUCAGUCCGCCGCCAUCUUCCUCUUCGUUGAUGAUCCAGAGAGGAAUGACUUCCUCUGCCAUUGCUGGAUUCGUGUGAUUCUUCCCCAACUAUUCCGUGUUCGUAAGCAAGCCUGGGAUCUAUGGGGAGG
rnacentral:lncRNA from 1 species